rnacentral:rRNA from 1 species
AUUGAACGCUGGCGGCAGGCCUAACACAUGCAAGUCGAGCGGAUGAAGGGAGCUUGCUCCUGGAUUCAGCGGCGGACGGGUGAGUAAUGCCUAGGAAUCUGCCUGGUAGUGGGGGGUAACGUCCGGAAACGGGCGCUAAUACCGCAUACGUCCUGAGGGAGAAAGUGGGGGAUCUUCGGACCUCACGCUAUCAGAUGAGCCUAGGUCGGAUUAGCUAGUUGGUGGGGUAAAGGCCUACCAAGGCGACGAUCCGUAACUGGUCUGAGAGGAUGAUCAGUCACACUGGAACUGAGACACGGUCCAGACUCCUACGGGAGGCAGCAGUGGGGAAUAUUGGACAAUGGGCGAAAGCCUGAUCCAGCCAUGCCGCGUGUGUGAAGAAGGUCUUCGGAUUGUAAAGCACUUUAAGUUGGGAGGAAGGGCAGUAAGUUAAUACCUUGCUGUUUUGACGGUACCAACAGAAUAAGCACCGGCUAACUUCGUG